GCGGAACUAGAGCUGUAUUUCAACAAGCUGAUGUCACCUGCAAUGCAGAGAGGCCGAGUAGAAGGACAAGAAAUCCCUGUUGAGUUACCUUCCAGUUUAUCUCAACCCCCCUCUACUGAACCAGAAAGGAACAGACACCAUGAUGUUGACUAUGACCAAAGGGACUUUCACAUGCCUGAUGUGCGUCUGGCAG